CCAGCCGGAAUACCCCACACCUCCUUUCACCACGCCCCCUUGCAUCUGCGCGAGGCAUCUAGCGGCAUGUAGUCCCGCUGCCGCCAUGCCUUCCAAGAUCCAACAGUCGGACGGCUUCCCUGUGCACCGCCCCUCCCUAUAGCGCAUAUACAUGGAUUCAAUUUUGGAGCAGACUAUGAUUCAGAAGCUACAAGUGCAGAUUUUGGAAACGUCGCCAGAUUCAACUUCCCUUUGACAAGGUUUCGGAAGAUUAACCAAUAGCACUCGAGUGAUUGGGCUCGAAAGAUCAGUACAAGCACUAUAAGAACUGGAGGAAUCAUCGUAUUCAUUGUUAAAACAAGUCAGCAUUGGCAUAGAUUCUAUGUGGUCUCCCAAGGCGCAGAUUGGGCCAUUCUAAUUGGGGCUAAACACAAGGGUCUGGGAGUGAAGCACGCUGCCCUACAAUGGUUAAAUUUUUGCUGAACAGCUUUCCUUUACAUUCUCUUACUCAUUUCCUGUAAAGUAUGCCAAAUAAAAUUCUAAGGAACCAUCUAAAAAAAGGAUACAUUUUUUUCUCUAUCAUGAAUCAUUUCUCAAACUUCCACAUAUAAAAGAGAGAAACUUUUUUUCUAUGAGCCCAAAUAAUUUUGUUUGGCUUUACUGAUUGUCAAAUGUUGAUGGUUUUGCUGCGCCGUUUAAGUAUUGCAGUAUAAUACUGAAUAACUGAUUGACCUGUGCUAUUAAAUAAAUGUGCAAACUCAUUAAAGGCAGACUGGUAUGGGACUGAACAACUUUUCACUUUUGUUCAUAGCUUUUUAUGUUACAGAUUCAAUAUUAAUAGGAUAAGCUUGAGGCGUGGAAGCCAGCGGCGCCGCCUGUCAUUUUCUGGACUAC